rnacentral:rRNA from 1 species
UCCAGGUGAAAGGAUGUAGGCAUGUAUCUUAGGCAAAUCCGGGGUACUCUAUGCUGAGAUCUGAUAGCAAGCUGUACUUGUACAGCGAAGUGGUUGAUGCCAUGCUUCCAGGAAAAGUCUCUAAGCUUCAGUUACACAGGAAUCGUACCCGAAACCGACACAGGUGGUCAGGUCGAGUAGACCAAGGCGCUUGAGAGAACUCUGCUGAAGGAACUAGGCAAAAUGGUACCGUAACUUCGGGAGAAGGUACGCUGUUGUUGGUGAUGGAACUCGCUUCCUGAGCUGACGACAGCCGCAGAAACCAGGCCGCUGCAACUGUUUAUUAAAAACAUAGCACUCUGCAAACACGAAAGUGGACGUAUAGGGUGUGAUGCCUGCCCGGUGCUGGAAGGUUAAUUGAUGGGGUUAGCGUAAGCGAAGCUCUUGAUCGAAGCCCCAGUAAACGGCGGCCGUAACUAUAACGGUCCUAAGGUAGCGAAAUUCCUUGUCGGGUAAGUUCCGACCUGCACGAAUGGCAUAAUGAUGGCGGCGCUGUCUCCAGCAGAGGCUCAGUGAAAUCGAAAUCGCUGUGAAGAUGCAGUGUACCCGCGGCUAGACGGAAAGACCCCGUGAACCUUUACUGCAGCUUGACACUGAACUUUGACCUUACUUGUGUAGGAUAGGUGGGAGGCUUUGAAGCUGGAACGCUAGUUCCAGUGGAGCCGUCCUUGAAAUACCACCCUGGUAAUGUUGAGGUUCUAACUCUGUCCCGUGAUCCGGGACGAGGACCGUGUCUGGUGGGUAGUUUGACUGGGGCGGUCUCCUCCUAAAGAGUAACGGAGGAGUACGAAGGUGCGCUCAGCGUGGUCGGAAAUCACGCGUAGAGUAUAAAGGCAAAAGCGCGCUUAACUGCGAGACCCACAAGUCGAGCAGGUACGAAAGUAGGUCUUAGUGAUCCGGUGGUUCUGUAUGGAAGGGCCAUCGCUCAACGGAUAAAAGGUACUCUGGGGAUAACAGGCUGAUACCGCCCAAGAGUUCAUAUCGACGGCGGUGUUUGGCACCUCGAUGUCGGCUCAUCUCAUCCUGGGGCUGAAGCAGGUCCCAAGGGUAUGGCUGUUCGCCAUUUAAAGAGGUACGCGAGCUGGGUUUAGAACGUCGUGAGACAGUUCGGUCCCUAUCUACCGUGGGCGCUGGAAAUUUGAGAGGAUCUGCUCCUAGUACGAGAGGACCAGAGUGGACGAACCUCUGGUGUACCGGUUGUGACGCCAGUCGCAUCGCCGGGUAGCUAUGUUCGGAAGGGAUAACCGCUGAAAGCAUCUAAGCGGGAAGCCUACCUCAAGAUAAGAUUUCCCUAGGACUUUAUGUCCUCUAAAGAGCCGUUCGAGACUAGGACGUUGAUAGGUUGGAUGUGGAAGCAUAGUGAUAUGUGAAGCUGACCAAUACUAAUUGCUCGUGAGGCUUGACUAUACAACACCCAAGCAGUUG